rnacentral:rRNA from 1 species
GACGUAGGGCGCGAGCGUUGUCCGGAUUUAUUGGGCGUAAAGAGCUCGUAGGCGGCUUGUCGCGUCGACUGUGAAAUCCCGCGGCUCAACUGCGGGUCUGCAGUCGAUACGGGCAGGCUAGAGUUCGGUAGGGGAGACUGGAAUUCCUGGUGUAGCGGUGAAAUGCGCAGAUAUCAGGAGGAACACCGGUGGCGAAGGCGGGUCUCUGGGCCGAUACUGACGCUGAGGAGCGAAAGCGUGGGGAGCGAACAGGAU